GGUGCUACGUGUGUGUGGGUGCGGGUUGGGUGCGUGUGUGUUGGUGCAACCUAGGGUAGAGAGGGCAGAAGGAGCUAGGGGAAAGAGGUAGGGUGCGGCGACGGUCUAAGGCCGUUUGGGGCGCCAAGGGGUGGUGGAUCGAGAGGAGGGGCUCCAGUGGAGAGGGGCGAGUGGUAGAGGUGACUGGCCAAAGAGAGGAGCGGGUCCUUUCGGUGCGGGUCCGUGACCACCACCACGUGGCGCUCCUCCGGGGUCGCCGCAGCUCGACGACAACGACGCCCGUGUCGCUGCAGCCGCACCAGUCCUACCAGCGUCGGGAAGUUCUAAGAGUUACCGCCGUAGAGCCGCGACUACCGUCUCAGCUGCCGCUCGUAGCCGCCCAUGUACCGCAGCCCCAUGGCCUCCCACCGACCGCACGUCGAGAUGUAGUUGGUGGAGUUCGGGCGGGCGGAGCCGCUGGCGUAGCUCCGGUUCCACUUGGGGUAGGCCAUGGAGGUGGGGCUGCGCAUGAACCUGUUCCUGGUCGACGACCUGCGCCACGUAACCUAGACCGUCCGCCACUCCGAGCGGACGCCGGACGAGACCCCGUGGCAGGGAGAGCAGCCGCGGAAGACCUAGCGGGAUCAAUGAACCUUUAUAACUGUAAGAGUUUGGUUUAUACUCCACGGGAAAUAAGUCAGGUACCCUCAUAUAACGGCACCUCUACUUUAUUGUACGAGCACAUGAUUAACUGAUAUGCGAUCGGACCGAACGGUAACCUUCCACCGCAUACCUGAUACCUGAGGAAAAAGAAUUCGACCGGUACACUAAUGAAAACGGAUAUUCGACCGGCACAGCAACCCGCACACCUGAGACAUGCGGGAAUGCGGCGGUAGUUCAACUCUGCCUCAUCCUCCUGCUCGUCAUCGUCGUUUAGUCAGACUACUACUGCCCCACGCCCUCCGUUACCACUAGUACGACUACCGUACUUCUUCCGACUACUGGUGUUGGAUCUGGAUAACCGUAAAGCUCUACCUUUUGUAUCCGCCGUACCUCUGUUGUUGGACCUGGUGGGUGGAGGGAACGGAAAAAUUAAAACCAACACCACCAACGUAGUGGCCGCGUCAGCGUUUAGUCAUACAUCACACGAACACCACAACCCAGACCUGACAUCACAGGUAGGUCAUCCAAUCCACGAACAACGACGAUCUAGGGUACUACGAGUGGAUUCAAAACACAAUACACCUCCGGUUGGAAACACUAGAAUAAACAGCUGUGAACACACUAGAGCAGAAUGAAACACUAUGUCCUGCAUACUAUAUAUACAAAAAUACCUACUAGAACAGAAUAAAAGG
rnacentral:rRNA from 1 species